GGGUUGUGAGGUUAAGCGACUAAGCGUACACGGUGGAUGCCCUGGCAGUCAGAGGCGAUGAAGGACGUGCUAAUCUGCGAUAAGCGCCGGUAAGGUGAUAUGAACCGUUAUAACCGGCGAUUUCCGAAUGGGGAAACCCAGUGUGACUCGUCACACUAUCAUUAACUGAAUCCAUAGGUUAAUGAGGCGAACCGGGGGAACUGAAACAUCUAAGUACCCCGAGGAAAAGAAAUCAACCGAGAUUCCCCCAGUAGCGGCGAGCGAACGGGGAGGAGCCCAGAGCCUGAAUCAGCAUGUGUGUUAGUGGAAGCGUCUGGAAAGGCGCGCGAUACAGGGUGACAGCCCCGUACACAAAAGCGCA
rnacentral:rRNA from 2 species